CGACGUGAGUAACCUGCCCUGGAGUGGGGAAUAACAGCUGGAAACAGCUGCUAAUACCGCAUAAUGCAGUUGGGCCGCAUGGCUCUGACUGCCAAAGAUUUAUCGCUCUGGGAUGGACUCGCGUCUGAUUAGCUAGUUGGUGGGGCAACGGCCCACCAAGGCGACGAUCAGUAGCCGGACUGAGAGGUUGGCCGGCCACAUUGGGACUGAGACACGGCCCAGACUCCUACGGAAGGCAGCAG
rnacentral:rRNA from 1 species